GUCUAUGGCCACACCAUCUUGAACAUGCCAUUCUCAUUUGAUCUCAGCAACUGAGCAGGGCAGGCCUGGUUAGUACUUGAAUAGGAGGAAGACAUUUUAACAAAGGUU
rnacentral:rRNA from 1 species